rnacentral:lncRNA from 1 species
CUGCAGCCCUCGGAGGACAGAAGUGUUGUGCGCCCAACAGAACCCUCUGAGACGCAAGCUGCUCCCUUGGCUAGCUCAUAUGUGGAAAUAGCCCUGUAAUUCGAGGUAACUCCUUCCGCUCGUGUCCACAUCCCUCUUGUUGAGAGCUCACUGAAAGUCAUGUGCCCGGGGAAUGUUCCUGUGACUGUUUUUUGUUUUUCCUUUUUUUUUUAACUUUGUUUUUGUUUUUUUCAAUUAAGCUGGAACUAAAGUCAGGCCCAGCCAUUACGCUCCCCACGUGCAGCCAGGUGCAGCCUGGGCCCAGUCAUGCCUGGCUCAUAGAUGAAAUCCCUUAAGCAGGAUUGAAGACCAGUGAACGCCCCCGCCUUUUGGAUUUUUUGCUCAAUUGACCGUCUUUUCCAGACCUCUUUAAGUCACACUCUUAACUUAGCUUUCUCUGAUGUCUGUUGCCGCCAUUAGUUUUUUUCUAGAGCCCACACUGGCCCACAUAGCUCCAUCCCAUACGGGUAGCUGGCUCCAGCUGCGCCAAGGUGCAGACCCGCCCUGGGCAUGCUGGCCUGUGACGGAGCCUGAGGUCACAGCCCCCUGACUAGCCUGAGACCUUCCUAGGGGCUGUGGCUGUUUCCGGGGAGGCCGGGAGGGGCAGCUGUGAGCCCUGUGGAGGACGUUGGGAGUAACGCUGCUUUGCUUUGGCAGGUUGAAGGGGCCCGGCCAGGACUCGGGGAAGGGUGGCCUGAGAGCAGCGAUGACCUCUGGGGUCACUGUCCCAGGAGGGACUUCACCUGGAACAAGAGCUGGAGGCAGCCGCUUGCCCAGGAGGCUUGUCCCCUGAGGCGCUUCGCCAGUGAGGUGCGGGCUCAGGGCCUCGAGUCUCUCCUGGAGCACGGGCUGCGGUGCGCCGGCAGCUUACGGGGCGGCCAGUCCUUGCCCACAACGAUGUGGAGCCCUGUGAAAGUCGGAUUCGAAUAAAGGGCCACGUGUGCACCCAG